rnacentral:rRNA from 1 species
GAGACCCACGCCAACAGUUGCCAGCAUGUCCUCCGGGAUGGUGGGGACACUGUUGGGACCGCCUCUGCUAAAGAGGAGGAAGGAAUGGGCAACGGUAGGUCAGCAUGCCCCGAAUUAUCCGGGCUACACGCGGGCUACAAUGGUCAGGACAAUGGGUAUCAACACCGAGAGGUGAAGGCAAUCUCUUAAACCUGUCCUUAGUUCGGAUUGUGGGCUGCAACUCGCCCACAUGAAGCUGGAAUCCGUAGUAAUCGCGUCUCAAAAUGGCGCGGUGAAUAU